rnacentral:rRNA from 1 species
GACGAACGUUGGCGGCGUGCUUAACACAUGCAAGUCGAACGGAAAGGCCCUGCUUUUGUGGGGUGCUCGAGUGACGAACGGGUGAGUAACACGUGAGUAACCUGCCCUUGACUUUGGGAUAACUUCAGGAAACUGGGGCUAAUACCGGAUAGGAGCUCCUGCUGCAUGGUGGGGGUUGGAAAGUUUCGGCGGUUGGGGAUGGACUCGCGGCUUAUCAGCUUGUUGGUGGGGUAGUGGCUUACCAAGGCUUUGACGGGUAGCCGGCCUGAGAGGGUGACCGGCCACAUUGGGACUGAGUUACGGCCCAGACUCCUACGGGAGGCAGCAGUGGGGAAUAUUGCACAAUGGGCGGAAGCCUGAUGCAGCAACGCCGCGUGCGGGAUGACGGCCUUCGGGUUGUAAACCGCUUUCGCCUGUGACGAAGCGUGAGUGACGGUAAUGGGUAAAGAAGCACCGGCUAACUACGUGCCAGCAGCCGCGGUGAUACGUAGGGUGCGAGCGUUGUCCGGAUUUAUUGGGCGUAAAGGGCUCGUAGGUGGUUGAUCGCGUCGGAAGUGUAAUCUUGGGGCUUAACCCUGAGCGUGCUUUCGAUACGGGUUGACUUGAGGAAGGUAGGGGAGAAUGGAAUUCCUGGUGGAGCGGUGGAAUGCGCAGAUAUCAGGAGGAACACCAGUGGCGAAGGCGGUUCUCUGGGCCUUUCCUGACGCUGAGGAGCGAAAGCGUGGGGAGCGAACAGGCUUAGAUACCCUGGUAGUCCACGCUGUAAACGGUGGGUACUAGGUGUGGGGUCCAUUCCACGGGUUCCGUGCCGUAGCUAGCGCUUUAAGUACCCCGCCUGGGGAGUACGGCCGCAAGGCUAAAACUCAAAGGAAUUGACGGGGCCCCGCACAAGCGGCGGAGCAUGCGGAUUAAUUCGAUGCAACGCGUAGAACCUUACCUGGGUUUGACAUGGAUCGGGAGUGCUCAGAGAUGGGUGUGCCUCUUUUGGGGUCGGUUCACAGGUGGUGCAUGCCUGUCGUCAGCUCGUGUCGUGAGAUGUUGGGUUAAGUCCCGCAACGAGCGCAACCCUUGUUCACUGUUGCCAGCACGUUAUGGUGGGGACUCAGUGGAGACCGCCGGGGUCAACUCGGAGGAAGGUGGGGAUGACGUCAAGUCCUCAUGCCCCUUAUGUCCAGGGCUUCACGCAUGCUACAAUGGCUGGUACAGAGAGUGGCGAGCCUGUGAGGGUGAGCGAAUCUCGGAAAGCCGGUCUCAGUUCGGAUUGGGGUCUGCAACUCGACCUCAUGAAGUCGGAGUCGCUAGUAAUCGCAGAUCAGCAACGCUGCGGUGAAUACGUUCCCGGG